AAGGAGCUGAGGCUGCGGGUGGGCUCCCAUGGAGGUAUCCCAACGCAACCCGACGAGGUGCCAGCCCCAGGGCAUGGCCCUGCCUCGCCCCGCACCCAAAUCCUGGCCUCCAGCAGCAGGUGGGAGCGGGACCCGGCUUUCUCCUUCCGUGAACACGUGUAAGGUCUUGGCCCGUAUCAAAAGAAGGCUACUUCUCUUUGAGGAAAGGCUGAAAUACAGGGACUCAGCCAUUUCAGCAUGACGGUUUGGGAAAAGCAAUUUCAAGGGAAAGAAAGCUAACUGGGAAAGGUGUGAUAAAUCAAAUUGGAAAACUUCCUGAGCAGACUUAACCUGCGUGUUGCACACCUGCACGUUGCACAGCUGAGCACUGCAUAGCUGCACACCUGCACGCUUGCACUGCUGGAAUCACACUACGAGGAGACCCCUCCACACCCAACAGCAGCCACAGGCAUGGGAGGGAGCGAUCAGGAGGGAACUGGGAAUGUCCCAUCCAUCGAUUAAAGAAGGGAACACAAACUGAAGCCACUGUAGCUUAUAAUUAAUCAGUGAACGAAGGCACCAAGCAUAGCCCCAUCUGUCUGUCUGUCUGUCCAUCCAUCUGUCUAUCUGCCCACUGAUGGCCACAGCUCAGUGCACGGAGCAGAGCUGAACCUGCUGCUCAGUGUCACCCCAAGCUGACGUCUUUCCAGCAGCCUCCGGUGUAAUUAAAGUAUUUUAUGGA